rnacentral:tRNA from 1 species
GUCCGGAUAGCUCAGUCGGUAGAGCGCUGCCACGACAUGGCAGAGGCCAGCGGUUCGACUCCGCUUCCGGGCACCG